GUGUAUCUGAGGUGCUGAAAAGCUGUAGUAGAGAAAAUAGAGCUUGUGUGCCCAGAAAUGCUGGGGUUCUGUGGCCUGGCUGGUUCUUGGGAGAUUUCUGUGUCAACUAUGCAGGUGUCUGUUAUUCAGCUAAUUUGCAAGGGGUUUGCAGGAGGUAUAUGGGGCUGUCAGCUGAACUCAUCUCUCUGAUUCUUCCUUUCUGCAGAAUCUCCUUUUCUGGCUCGACUCUUCACAUGGCUUCUCCGUGGCUAAUCCUCAGCUCAGAUGCCUGUGGACUUUCUAGACAAACUCCAAGGCCUCCUGGGCUUUGUGGUCAAAGCUGCGUUGGACUCUUCUGCAGGGGAGGAAAGGGAAGUAGUAAGGGUGUCCCCAAACACACCAAAGACUUGGGUGAGCAAGGCCGAGCUUUCUGGAAACACUACUGCUCGAUUCCCACAGAAGUAGCAAGAGGGCAAAAGAAAAAUCCCUUAUGGCUCCUUCACAGCAGUUUUAUACCCUUUUUUGUUUGUUUUUUCUGA
rnacentral:lncRNA from 1 species